CACAGAGUUAGCCGGUGCUUAUUCUGCGAGUAACGUCCACUAUCCUAAAGUAUUAAUCUAGGUAGCCUCCUCCUCGCUUAAAGUGCUUUACAACCAAAAGGCCUUCUUCACACACGCGGCAUGGCUGGAUCAGGGUUCCCCCCAUUGUCCAAUAUUCCCCACUGCUGCCUCCCGUAGGAGUCUGGGCCGUGUCUCAGUCCCAGUGUGGCGGAUCAUCCUCUCAGACCCCGCUACAGAUCGUCGCCUUGGUAGGCCUUUACCCUACCAACUAGCUAAUCCGACUUAGGCUCAUCUAUUAGCGCAAGGCCCGAAGGUCCCCUGCUUUCUCCCGUAGGACGUAUGCGGUAUUAGCGCUCCUUUCGGAACGUUGUCCCCCACUAAUAGGCAGAUUCCUAAGCAUUACUCACCCGUCCGCCGCUGAAUCCAGUAGCAAGCUACUUUCAUCCGCUCGACUUGCAUGUGUUAAGCCUGCCGCCAGCGUUCAAUCUGAGCCAGGAUCAAACU
rnacentral:rRNA from 1 species